rnacentral:rRNA from 1 species
GAUGAACGCUGGCGGCGUGCCUAAUACAUGCAAGUCGAACGGAGACAUUAGCAAUAAUGUCUUAGUGGCGAACGGGUGAGUAACGCGUUGGUGACCUGCCCCGAAGAGGGGGAUAACAGUCCGAAAGGAUUGCUAAUACCCCAUAUGGUCGUUUGGAUUAGAUGCCUUACGACUAAACGGAUUUAUUCGCUUCGGGAGGGGCCUGCGUCCCAUCAGCUAGUUGGUAAGGUAAUGGCUUACCAAGGCGAUGACGGGUAGGGGACCUGAGAGGGUGGCCCCCCACAAUGGAACUGAAACACGGUCCAUACACCUACGGGUGGCAGCAGUAGGGAAUAUUGGUAAUCUGGGAAACCGGGAACCAGCAACGCCGCGUGCGCGAUGAAGGCCUCGGUUGUAAGACGACUUUUGUAGGGAGUGAGGAAGGACGAGUA